UACGAAGGGGGCUAGCGUUGUUCGGAUUUACUGGGCGUAAAGCGCACGUAGGCGGAUUGUUAAGUGAGGGGUGAAAUCCCAGGGCUCAACCCUGGAACUGCCUUUCAUACUGACAAUCUCGAGUCCGGAAGAGGUGAGUGGAACUCCUAGUGUAGAGGUGGAAUUCGUAGAUAUUAGGAAGAACACCAGUGGCGAAGGCGGCUCACUGGUCCGGUACUGACGCUGAGGUGCGAGAGCGUGGGGAGCAAACAGG
rnacentral:rRNA from 1 species